UACGUAGGGGGCGAGCGUUGUCCGGAAUCAUUGGGCGUAAAGCGCGUGUAGGCGGCCCGGUAAGUCCGCUGUGAAAGUCCAGGGCUCAACCCUGGGAUGCCGGUGGAUACUGUCGGGCUCGAGUCCGGAAGAGGCGAGUGGAAUUCCUGGUGUAGCGGUGAAAUGCGCAGAUAUCGGGAGGAACACCAAUGGCGGAGGCAGCUCGCUGGGACGUUACUGACGCUGAGACGCGAAAGCGUGGGGAGCAAACAGG
rnacentral:rRNA from 1 species